GCAAGUAUUAUAAAAAGAAGCCUAAGGGAGGAGAAAGAAUUGGAUCCACCGAAAUACAUAUUGUGAUUCUCUCGAAGAGAAGCUGGACGAUGAGAUGCGAGAAGCAUCGAUCGAAUCGACGUUUCGUUUCGAUCGUGCUCUCUUCGACGAUCGAACGAGCCGAUAACCGACGAGAAAACCGGAGGAGCAAAAGCGCAAGAUGGAUCGUGACGAAAUAAUGACCAACGCAGCGCAGUGGCGUUACAAAAGAGAGUGUCUACUACUUACCAAAACCAUGAGAAAAGAAGAAAG
rnacentral:lncRNA from 1 species